GUCCAGACUCCUACGGGAGGCAGCAGUGGGGAAUAUUGCACAAUGGGGGGAACCCUGAUGCAGCGACGCCGCGUGAGUGAAGAAGUAUUUCGGUAUGUAAAGCUCUGUUAGCAGGGAAGAAGAAAGACGGUACCUGACCAAGAAGCCCCGACUAACUACGUGCCAGCAGCCGCGGUAAUACGUAGGGGGCAAGCGUUAUCCGGAUUUACUGGGUGUAAAGGGAGCGUAGACGGCAUGGCAAGUCAGAUGUGAAAGCCCGGGGCUCAACCCCGGGACUGCAUUUGAAACUGUCAGGCUGGAGUGCAGGAGAGGUAAGUGGAAUUCCUAGUGUAGCGGUGAAAUGCGUAGAUAUUAGGAGGAACACCGGUGGCGAAGGCGGCCUGCCGGACUGUGACUGACGUUGAGGCCCGAAGGCGUGGGGAGCAAACAGGAUUAGAUACCCCAGUA
rnacentral:rRNA from 1 species